UUUUUCUUCUUCGUUUUCUGCUUUUUUUCUUUUUCUCGUUCUUCUUUUUCUUUUUUUUCUUGUUCUCGUUUUCUUCUUCGUUUUCUGAUUUUUUUUUCUUGUUCUUUUUCUUUUUUUCUUGUUCUUGUUCUCAUUUUUCUUCUUCGUUUUCUUCUUCGUUAUCUUCUUGUUCUUGUUCUCCCUUCCUUUCCUUUCCUCUCCCUUCCUUCCUUCCUUCCUUCCCGCCUUCCUUCCAUUCCUCCCUCGAAAUAAGUAACAAAAUUCGACUUAAAUCUGAAGAAAAAAAAAAUCAACAGUACUUUAAAAAAUGAAAUUAGAGAAAACAAACCAAAUCUAACAUUGCUAUAAGACGUUAGGGAAGGGAAUCCAAAACUACAACACCAGAUUCCAAUGCUACUUAAAAAUAUAACCAAAAUACAUUCACAUUUCAAGAACUUAUAGAAAUUCCAAGCUAUAAACUCACAAAUCCAACCCACGUACCAAAUAUAAGGUUUCCAACACCCCAUAAAUAAGAGGAUUAGGACUUUAAGUAGCAUCAGGCACUGGGUUGUAUAAGGUCUCUAACGAUCCUGGAAUAGGGGAUUGAAUCGUGUCGUGUAAGGUUUCCAAUGCUGUCUAUAGAGGAUCAAGAGGGCCUCGCCGAUGCUCUGACCAUCCCUCACUCCGUUGGUACUACUGCUAAGGAACCUUCGUGUUAUAUUGUCCAUUGUUUGUGAGUUCGUGUGUUUACCUUUGACGGAGAGGAGACGAAGAGAGGAUGAUGAAGAGGAGGAGGAGAGAGAUGAGUAGAAGAGACAGAAGGGAUGGAGUGGACGAAGAGAGAGAUGGAGAGAGGAGACUGAGAUGAAUAGGAAGGAAAAUAGGACGAAAGAGAUGUGAUUAUGAGCUGAAAGAAGAUGAUAAUAUGGCAGAGAAGAGAGCGAGAUGAUGAAGAGGAAGAAGAGAGAUGCGGAGAGAAGACUGACAUGAAUAAUAAGAAAGAGGGGACGAAAGAGAGGUCAUUAUGAGAUGAAAGAAGAUGAUAAUAUGGCAGAGAAGAGACUGAGGAAGAAGAGAGACGAGAAGAGAUUGAGACGCUGAGUAAGAAGGAAGAGAGAACGAUAGACAAGAUUAGAAGAAGGAAGUGACUGAGAGGAUGGAUGAAGAGAAGAAGAGAACAGAGAAGAGGGCUGAGAGGAUAAAUAAAGAGGAAGAGGAGACGAAAGAGAAGAUGAUGAUGAAAGUUUGCAAGAGGACCAAGAUAAAUAUGAAUGAAGAAGGAGAAGAUAAUGAUGAAUGAAGAGGAAGAAGAUUUUAAUUAUAGAGAAGAGGAAAGGAAGACGUGUAUAGAAGAGAUGGAGAUGAUAAAGAGGAAGAAGAGAUGACGAAGUGGAGGAAAAUGAUGAGGAUGAGGAUUUGAAUGAAGAUGAUGAUGAUGACGAAGAUGAUGAUGAUGAUAAUGAUAAAAAGACGUGUUACAGGAAGAAGAUGGUGAAGCAGAAGAGGUAAAGAAGAAGGAAGAAAUGUGGAAAGAUUAUGAUAGUGAAAAGAAGGGAGUAAUCACCAUAGAGUUUAAUUAAGAAAAAUGAUGAAGGAAGAUGACUACGAUGAUGAAGAAGGAGAUGAUGAUGGUGAUGGUGAUGGAAGCAAUAGAAAUAUGAAGUAGAGAAAGAGAGAGAGAGAGAGAGAGAGAGAGAGAGAGAGAGAGAGAGAGAGAGAGAGAGAAGCUUCGAAGCAUAAAGCAAGAUGGAUUAGAAGCAAGCUAGCAGGCACGAAAACAAGAUAUGCAUGAAGCAAAUCAGGCAAACAGUAUAAUCAGGCUGUAAAGCAGGCAGUAUAAAAGGCUGUAAGCAGGCCGGCAGGCAGGCAGGCAGGCGGGAGGGCAGGCAAAGCAGGCAGAUAUUACCCCAAGCGGCGCCUCACCCCGCCCGCCGUUCCCGCCAAGCCAGCCCGCCAUCGAGCCUGUUGUUGAUAUACUAGAUGCGGCAAAGCCUUGUAUUCCUCGUCGUUUAUGCGUCGUUUUAUCGUAGUAGUAACCGCUAGCGUAGGUGUAGGUCAAGGGUCUGAGCAGGGGCGGUAAGCGGUGACCCUCGGGCUGUGUUUAUACUCGUUACGUUCGUUCCCAGGCAUGAGUGUUUGGCCCGUGUCCCUACACGUGUCGGGUUGCCUCCCGCCACGACUCUCCCAAGGCCGCGGCACGGAUGGACUGAGUACAAGACUUGUGUAUUCGAAUACGAACACUUCAAAUUCCAACGAAUACGAAUUCGAAUACACUGAAAUAGUUUUAAUUUGAAUACAAAUAUGAAUACUUCUUGAAGAUAUUCAUGAAUACAUUCAUAAAUAUUUUUCUUUGAAAAAUACCUUCUUGACGUAACUGGGUAUAGCACUGUAUUAAAGUUAUGCAACAAUAACAUGAACUCAUGAACCUGUACUAUACACGGAAGUUACACGUCCGCCCAGGAGGCUAGAUUAUUCGAAUACGAAUACGAAUACUCCAUCCCUGGGCCACAGAGAAGAUUACCGGGGUUUCCAUGGGUGGUUCUCCUGUUCAAGGCGAUAAGUCGUGUAACAUUACCACUGAGAUCACGAAACACUCCAUGAACAGCCCGGCAACUUAUUCUUCCCAUUACCUCUCAUUACGACUAUUCCCCAACGCCUCAGAGAAGACAGUCCAUAAAAAGCCCAGCAACUUACACGAGAGGCAUCCCAAACAGGCGAAGUGAGGCGCCGAGACGUUUAAGAAUACGGGUUAAUUUUGUCCUUUGUUACUGUGGCGGUGGUGGUGGCGGGAAAGGUGGUGAGCUGCGUGCCUACUUAUAUUUUGCUCGUGUAUAAAUGUCCAUACAUAUCCCUAUACACAUAUCUCGACUUGUUUAAUUCCGGUCUUAGUAUCAUGCUAUUUAGUGUUCUUAUCCUUGUGCCGUUUGCGUGGUAUGAUUAAGAGAUGCGUUCGCUCGUGUAAGGUGGAAUAUAUCAAUACGGUUAUGCAUAUCUAGUCAUUUUAUCAGUAUUUAAGGCUUUUAGUUGUAUUUUUAUCGGUUUUCAUUCGUUUUGUGAUGUAUUGAUUGGUUAGUUCUGUUUUAUUUGUUAUUUAUUGGUGUUUCAUGAUUUGUUUCGAUUUGUUGUUCUUUUAGGCUCGCUCACCGUUGCCAGAUUAUCGUACUCCGAGCAUCACAUUUACCAGCUUCUCCCCCAUAAAUACCACCAGGAAACAGGAAUAAUAAACCAUUUCAACAAUAACUACAAACAAAUCUCGUUAUUGUGGCCCAGGAAACAGUUUUUGGGAUGGAAAUCGGGAAACAUGAGAAACUGAGUACGACAAUCUGGCAACGUUGGGCUCGCUUGGUAGUCUUCAGUUGUAAGUCGUGGGGGAAAGACGCGUUGUGUUGUGGUUGGGUGAUUGAGGUUACUUUUUGCCCUUCGUACGCCUAUUUUUUGCACAGAUCCAAUCCACAAAAGCCACACACACCUGGAGGGAAGACUUGCUUUCCUCCCAGACCGCCUCGGGCCCUUCAUCGGGUCCAGCAAGUCCUCCUGCCUCAGCUCCUCGAUAUCCUCCACCUUCACGGGAAGUUUUGCCGAGCCCUGAAGGAGGAAAAAGGAGGAGGGAGCGCAGGCGGUGUUGUCCUUCCACCAUGCGGUCAAUGAGGUCCACCGUUGCCGCCACGCCCACAUGGCAGCGCUCGCAGAUACACACCGGAAGCCGCCCAUCGUCAACCACCUGUGUGGAGAGAGGAAUGCUCCCCACAUCUGCAGCUACUAAGAAAAAACAUUGAUGUGCUGAUGUUACCCAGUGCCCACAGCCACUUCCCAGCAUCGUCCUUUUAGAGAUGAUUUGUCACCGUUACCUUUCUUUCUUCUCGCUCUUCUCUCCCUCCCUCUCACUUUUCUCCUUUACAGUAGCAACUUAAUAUCAUUGGUUACCUCCAAACCUUCAGACACUAUAUACCCCUAGUCAUAACCAUGCGCUUGUUGAAUGUCAUUUGUGUAAAACUAAUGCUUAUGUUUAAAGAAUAUUAGUUUUACACAUAUCAGGGUUUCUAUUCUAAUGGACCGUAUUGGCUAUACAAGCAGCGCCACAUGUGGCCACAUAACUCGAAGCUGUAUUUUCCAGAGCUCAAGUUAGAGCGUGUCUGAGGCUGUCUUAGGGAUACACAGCCGUGAUGCCGCCGUCACCCCAAGCAGAUGAUUGCACACUUCACGCCUACCCAAUUUCAAUUUUUCUCCGUGUCAAAUAGUAUUUUGUCAGGAAAUGAGUUAGGAGUAAAGUGUGUGCAGUCGUUGGCUUGGAGCGGUGGCGGCACCAAGGCCUUGUAUCCUGGAGGCAGCCGCAGACGCACUCUAGUUCAUAACUUGAG